CCUACGGGAGGCAGCAGUGGGGAAUAUUGCACAAUGGGCGGAAGCCUGAUGCAGCGACGCCGCGUGAGGGAUGACGGCCUUCGGGUUGUAAACCUCUUUCAGCAGGGACGAAGCGCAAGUGACGGUACCUGCAGAAGAAGCGCCGGCCAACUACGUGCCAGCAGCCGCGGUAAGACGUAGGGCGCGAGCGUUGUCCGGAUUUAUUGGGCGUAAAGAGCUCGUAGGCGGCUUGUCGCGUCGACUGUGAAAUCCCGCGGCUCAACCGCGGGUCUGCAGUCGAUACGGGCAGGCUAGAGUUCGGUAGGGGAGACUGGAAUUCCUGGUGUAGCGGUGAAAUGCGCAGAUAUCAGGAGGAACACCGAUGGCGAAGGCAGGUCUCUGGGCCGAUACUGACGCUGAGGAGCGAAAGCGUGGGGAGCGAACAGGAUUAGAUACCCUGGUAGUCCACGCUGUAAACCGUUGGGCGCUAGGUGUGGGGGUACCUCUCCGGUUCUCUGUGCCGCNGCUACGCAUAGCGCCCGCCGUCGGGAGGUACGGCCGCGACGGACGUAAACCGUACGAACGUAGAAGUUAGACGGCGUGAGACGUAGCCGACGGACGACGACGAGGGAGGAGGG
rnacentral:rRNA from 1 species